ACCUUUGUGACUUCAAGUGUUGUUUAUGAGUAACAUGAAUUGUCAUUAUUAAGGUAUUCCAAAAUAUUUUCAGGAAGCAUUGGUUUCAAACAUUAGCUGAUAUUUUUUGCUUUUGAUUUAGCAAAUACUCUUUCUGGUUUUGCCAAAUACUUUUUCAGAACUCUAAGCAAAUUAGUGGGUGAGAGACCAGAUACGUGGGACGUAUAUCUGGAUGCAAUUAUGUUUGGAUUGCGCACAAAAAAACAAACCACAACUAAGUUCUCACCGUACUUCCUCAUGUUUGGAGGCCCGCUACCCUUCUGAGGUGCCAGAACAACACCAGGUCAUCAAUGGUUAUUUAACAGUUUUGGUGAGAAAGUACAACAGCAGAAAUGCAGGCUGUGCCACUUUGAUUGACAACUAUACAAUGAGUAACAUCUGGAUCACGGCUAAAGAUCAGUCCCAUGGAUUCUAAUAUAAUUGUAGGCAUCGUCAAUGACAAUCAACACUGGAUGUUAACAGUGAGUUGCUCAUGACCCAUCAAAGGUUUUAGAUACUGUUUAAACCUCAGAUAAACGUCAUUCAACUGUUAAACUCUCUUUAGAAACGUUGGAAAAUGGAGAUGAGAUGUUUAUAGCAGAAGGAAUAUGUGCUUCUGAAAUUCUGUAGAGGAUGGUGCAUUCUGUAGAGGACAGUGCAUUCUGUAGAGGAUGGUGCAUUCUGUAGAGGACGGUGCAUUCUGUAGAGGACGGUGCAUUCUGUAGAUGACGGUGCAUUCUGUAGAGGAUGGUGCAUUCUGUAGAUGACGGUGCAUUCUGUAGAGGACGGUGCAUUCUGUAGAGGACGGUGCAUUCUGUAGAGGAUGGUGCAUUCUGUAGAGGACGGUACAUUCUGUAGAGGAUGGUGCAUUCUGUAGAGGAUGGUGCAUUCUGUAGAGGACGGUGCAUUCUGUAGAGGACGGUACAUUCUGUAGAGGACGGUACAUUCUGUAGAGGAUGGUGCAUUCUGUAGAGGACGGUGCAUUCUGUAGAGGAUGGUGCAUUCUGUAGAGGACGGUACAUUCUGUAGAGGAUGGUGCAUUCUGUAGAGGACGGUGCAUUCUGUAGAGGACGGUGCAUUCUGUAGAGGACGGUGCAUUCUGUAGAGGACGGUACAUUCUGUAGAGGACGGUGCAUUCUGUAGAGGACGGUGCAUUCUGUAGAGGACGGUACAUUCUGUAGAGGAUGGUGCAUUCUGUAGAGGAUGGUACAUUCUGUAGAGGACGGUGCAUUCUGUAGAGGACGGUGCAUUCUGUAGAGGACGGUGCAUUCUGUAGAGGAUGGUACAUUCUGUAGAGGACGGUGCAUUCUGUAGAGGAUGGUACAUUCUGU